GCCGGCAGCUAGCUCUCUACAACAUGGUCACCCACUGAAGCUAAGCAGGGCUACGCCUGGUCAGUACCUAGAUGGGAGACCACAUGGGAAAGCUGGGUUGCUGUCGGAA
rnacentral:rRNA from 1 species